UACGAAGGGGGGCUAGCGUUGCUCGGAAUCACUGGGCGUAAAGAGCGUGUGGGCGGUCCGGUAAGUCCGCUGUGAAAGUCGGGGGCUCAACCCUCGAAUGCCGGUGGAUACUGUCGGGCUAGAGUGCGGAAGAGGAGAGUGGAAUUCCUGGUGUAGCGGUGAAAUGCGCAGAUAUCAGGAAGAACACCCGUGGCGAAGGCGGCUCUCUGGGACGGUACUGACGCUGAGACGCGAAAGCGUGGGGAGCGAACAGG
rnacentral:rRNA from 1 species